CUACCAUACUUCAUACACCCUCGUCUUGGAGCAUAUUAAUCCAGCACGAUGUCCAGGUUUCAAGCGACAGCGAAUCCGCACAGCAUUUAAAAAUUGGCCGUGCGAUACUAUGGCUUAAGUAUAGCCAUGUGGGUGGAAGUUUUUUCUUCCACUCAAUAUGGCCGUAUGUGCAUAUUUUGAAUGCGCAGUUAAUGUAUAGCACCUGUUCAACCCUAGGGUUGGUUUGGAAGGGUACAUUUGUGAAAUUGAAUGGCUGUGCCUCAUAUACUAGCUAAUACUUUAUUUAGACACGGUGUAAAUGGGCUGAUGUAUCACUAUUACCCAAACAAGUUAUCCCAUCAGGCUACCUACACUGUGGUUAACAAGUACCGCCAUUUUAUCUGGUCCAAUCUCAGGCUAACAGGAUAACUCCUACUUUCUCAAUCCAUAACCUCCUCGCAUCUCGUCGUCGCACAAUUGCUCUCCACACAAGAUUUGCAGCGGUUCAAUUCCACCGUUGGAUAUUUCCCAUUUUUCUGCACGCACAUGGCGUAUCCUGUAUCCCAGGAGACACACCACGACUCUGCUAGCGAAGUCGGACAGAACACUCUGUAGUUGCAGUCACGCCUGGAGAGCUGAUGAUCUGUCAUAUCUGUUCAACUAGGGGUUCAAGUAAAUGGCAUACGGAGCAUUCAUUUCUCACAUACCUACAAGAUUGAUAGGGGAUGAGAGGACGAGUUCUAUAGCAGUGUGGAUGCUGAUAAACGCGGUAACGAGAAGCGCAUGGAACGAAAAUUUCAUGAUGAAUGGGCGGUUUUUGAGUUGCCAGCCGGAAUGGCUCAGGGUUGGUUGAAGGAAUGAAGACCCGCGUAGGAAACUAGGCUGGUAGUUGUGUCAUUAUUGUAUUGCUCUAUGGCUGGUUCAAAGGGCUUUGAUCUUACCUGUGAGCGUCUUUUAACUAAGAUAUAGAUGGCAACACAUAUGGACUCAAAACAAUCUUUUGAGGGAGCAGCUAGCCUGACAUUUAUACUCAUUUCAC
rnacentral:sRNA from 1 species